rnacentral:rRNA from 1 species
GAUGAACGCUGGCGGCGUGCUUAACACAUGCAAGUCGAACGGUGAAGGCGGAGCUUGCUCUGCUGGAUCAGUGGCGAACGGGUGAGUAACACGUGAGCAAUCUGCCCCUGACUCUGGGAUAAGCGCUGGAAACGGCGUCUAAUACUGGAUACGAGCUGCGAAGGCAUCUUCAGCAGCUGGAAAGAAUUUCGGUCAGGGAUGAGCUCGCGGCCUAUCAGCUUGUUGGUGAGGUAAUGGCUCACCAAGGCGUCGACGGGUAGCCGGCCUGAGAGGGUGACCGGCCACACUGGGACUGAGACACGGCCCAGACUCCUACGGGAGGCAGCAGUGGGGAAUAGUGCACAAGGGGCGAAAGCCUGAUGCAGCAAAGCCGCGUGGGGGAAGACGGCCUUCGGGUUGUAAACCUCUUUUAGCAGGGAAGAAGCGAAAGUGACGGUACCUGCAGAAAAAGCGCCGGCUAACUACGUG